rnacentral:tRNA from 1 species
GCCGGAGUGGCGGAAUUGGCAGACGCGGCGGAUUCAAAAUCCGCUUGGGUAACACCAGUGGGGGUUCGAGUCCCCCCUCCGGCA